GUCCAGACUCCUACGGGAGGCAGCAGUGGGGAAUAUUGCACAAUGGGGGAAACCCUGAUGCAGCGACGCCGCGUGAGUGAAGAAGUAUUUCGGUAUGUAAAGCUCUAUCAGCAGGGAAGAAGAAGGACGGUACCUGAGUAAGAAGCCCCGGCUAACUACGUGCCAGCAGCCGCGGUAAUACGUAGGGGGCAAGCGUUAUCCGGAUUUACUGGGUGUAAAGGGAGCGUAGACGGCGAAGAAAGUCUGAAGUGAAAGCCCGCGGCUCAACCGCGGAAUGGCUUUGGAAACUUUUUUGCUGGAGUACCGGAGAGGUAAGCGGAAUUCCUAGUGUAGCGGUGAAAUGCGUAGAUAUUAGGAGGAACACCAGUGGCGAAGGCGGCUUGCUGGACAGAGACUGACGUUGAGGCUCGAAAGCGUGGGGAGCAAACAGGAUUAGAUACCCUGGUA
rnacentral:rRNA from 1 species